AAUCAACGCUGGCGGCGUGCCUAACACAUGCAAGUCGAACGAGAAAGUGGAGCAAUCCAUGAGUAAAGUGGCGACCGGGUGAGUAACACGUGACUAACCUACCUCCGAGUGGGGAAUAACUCCGGGAAACCGGGGCUAAUACCGCAUAACAUCGCGAGAUCAAAGCAGCAAUGCGCUUGGAGAGGGGGUCGCGGCUGAUUAGCUAGUUGGCGGGGUAAUGGCCCACCAAGGCGAAGAUCGGUAUCCGGCCUGAGAGGGCGCACGGACACACUGGAACUGAAACACGGUCCAGACUCCUACGGGAGGCAGCAGUGGGGAAUUUUGCGCAAUGGGGGAAACCCUGACGCAGCAACGCCGCGUGGA
rnacentral:rRNA from 1 species